UGGAUCCAGGAGCCCUCAAAGAUAUCUCCGUUAGAAUAAACUUGAUAUCCUAACCCAUGUUUGAGAUUCAACCGCCAUCUUCCCUUAUAGGUCAAAUUAUUGGAACCAAUAUAGGUCCCCGUACCAUGCAUAUAACCACCUGAAAAUUCACCCUCAUAAGCAGCUCCAGAAGGCCAUUGAAUUUUUCCAUUUCCAUGCCUCAUCCCCCGUCUCCAUUCUCCCUCAUAAAUGCAACCAUCUGACCACACGUACUUCCCAUGGCCCUCAGGUACAUUGCUGAGCAACGACCCAGAAUAUGAUUCCCCAUUGGGAAGACUGAGCUCCCCAACUCUAAAGGAAGCAGCUUCAGAGGAAGCAUGGGUAGUUUCACCGUUGAUUGAUAUAGACAAGCGGUCUCUAUCAGAGAUGGCAUCAACAGAUUUUGUUCUGUCUGCAGAAGUUAGUACUCUUUCAACAUUAUCAGCAAUGGCCACAAGACCAGACAUG
rnacentral:misc_RNA from 1 species